GUAGAAGAGACUUGCACGGACGCCUUGGCGAGUUUGGGGUUGAGGCUUGACGCAGAAUCAUUGGAUUAUUGUGGGUAGAAAGUGGCGUUUCAUCUACACAAGUUGACAGUAUGGCAGAGGAAUGAACGCGGUGAACGCGAGCUUCGUCGUACUUAUAUUGGUGUGUUGGCGAGGCGGCUGUAGUUGGCAAAGUUUGGCCCUUGGACAUCUGUUACACUUGGCGGAAAGUGAAACGACCAAUCGGCGUCGCUAGACUUGACGUGACCCAGGCAAGGUUAACGUGGGUCAUGUCUGGAGGAGGUGAAUGUGACGUAAUGGAUGGAAUCGCCGUCAGACGUGUGGCAGAAGUUUCGUGAUGGGCUACUACUUGUGAAGACACACCGUGGCUGGAAGUGUACAACGAAUAGAGCCCAAACUGGACUUGACAGAGGGCGGGUCAGGAAGGCAAGGAGCAGUGUAUCACCAUCUGGUACUGCGGACCGCUAAAGGUGGAAGUGUCGCGCAUUGGCGGCUUUAGAGAAUGAAACUUCCUGAGGAAGUGUUUGCUAACCCCCAGGGAGCAAGAUAACAUACCUUGUAUGUAAUUUUGAAAAUAAAGAUAAAAAAAUGUAGUUAGUUAAUGCGAUACAAAGAAUUGAUUAGAAGAGAUGACUGAAAUGAGACGAUUGUCGAGUUAGGAAAAAUUAAAGUCACUAAUGUUGGUUUUAUUUUAAUGAGUUAUUGAAUGUUUCAUGUUGACAUACAAUGUAGGAAAAAUAAGCAUACAAUAAUUAUAGUACUAGAUACAUUGUGACUGGCCAGACAGGAAGGUUAGACAAAAUUUGGAAA